UGGGGAAUUUUGGACAAUGGGCGAAAGCCUGAUCCAGCAAUGCCGCGUGUGUGAAGAAGGCCUUCGGGUUGUAAAGCACUUUUGUCCGGAAAGAAAUCCUUGGCUCUAAUACAGUCGGGGGAUGACGGUACCGGAAGAAUAAGCACCGGCUAACUACGUGCCAGCAGCCGCGGUAAUACGUAGGGUGCAAGCGUUAAUCGGAAUUACUGGGCGUAAAGCGUGCGCAGGCGGUUUGCUAAGACCGAUGUGAAAUCCCCGGGCUCAACCUGGGAACUGCAUUGGUGACUGGCAGGCUAGAGUAUGGCAGAGGGGGGUAGAAUUCCACGUGUAGCAGUGAAAUGCGUAGAGAUGUGGAGGAAUACCGAUGGCGAAGGCAGCCCCCUGGGCCAAUACUGACGCUCAUGCACGAAAGCGUGGGGAGCAAACAGGAUUAGAUACCCUGGUAGUCCACGCCCUAAACGAUGUCAACUAGUUGUUGGGUAUUCAUUUCCUUAGUAACGUAGCUAACGCGUGAAGUUGACCGCCUGGGGAGUACGGUCGCAAGAUUAAAACUCAAAGGAAUUGACGGGGUCAUAGCUG
rnacentral:rRNA from 1 species